UUAUCUCUGUAGAGUCUGCAUAUCAAUAAGCGGAGGAAAAGAAACUAACAAGGAUUCCCUAGUAACGGCGAGUGAAGCGGGAAGAGCUCAAAUUUGAAAUCUUCAAGGUUUUACCUUGACGAAUUGUAGUUUAAAGAAGUGUUUUCGGUUAGAGGAGUAGUAAAAGUUCUUUGGAAUAGGACAUCAUAGAGGGUGAGAAUCCCGUAUUUGACUAUUCUUUCUAGCUUUGUGAUACACUUUCAAAGAGUCGGAUUGUUUGGGAAUGCAGUCCAAAAUGGGUGGUAAAUUUCAUCUAAAGCUAAAUAUUGGCGAGAGACCGAUAGCGAACAAGUACCGUGAGGGAAAGAUGAAAAGAACUUUGAAAAGAGAGUUAAACAGUACGUGAAAUUGUCAAAAGGGAAGCGUUUGACACCAGUGUUGUUUUUCCGAAAAUCAAUUAAGAAUGUUUUAUUUUUGAGGAGUUAUGACUUCAUCGGCUUGCUCCUUUCUUUAUGAAACUUUCUUAAUGCACUUUUCGGUUAACAAGUCAACAUCAAUUUCUUUUGUUGUAAAAGGGUAUGAGGAAGGUGGCUUUCUUUUCGGAGAAAGUGUUUAUAGCCUUGUGCCUCUGCAAUCGGAGAGAUUGAGGUCUGCAGCGUAGAUCCUUCGGGGUUAGAUGCACUUGUGCUAAGCUAUAGCCUUUCAUAGACAACUUGUUGACUAUGAUCAGUCAUGUAGCUUACUCGCUUAUGUCAUUUUACCUACGCUUAGGAUGUUGAUGUGAUACUGCGAGCA
rnacentral:rRNA from 1 species